ACAACCACUGCUACCUAAAGCUAGCGUCGUAUGCGGGAUAAACAACCAUCAAUGGACUGCACCAGGGCUAUGCUCUCUCAGGUCAUGACAAGCUCACAAGACAGUAACAACAUUAAACGCUGGCCAGAUAUCAAAUAAUGUUACCGCUACCCGUACGUACUCCAAGCUAGCUAGCAAGUAUUCGUUAGCUAGCUAACGUUAACUAGGAGUGGUCGAUUGCUUGUUUAGCUAGAUAGCUAACGAGCGAGCCACUGAACGAAAGCAGGAAGGAAUGCCUUGGGUAAAGCUUACCAAAUGAAUUUAGGAAAUCGGCAAUCUUCUUGAUGCUACUCGUGAUCACUUCUAUAUACUCGCGAUUUGCCCAAUCCUGAUGGAUUUCUCUUUGAACUGGGUCAUCCUGGAUAGACAUCUUUACGAGUUUGCUAAACUCAAUACUUCCGCGGUCUGGUAGGGUGCGCCAAAUGCUGUCACCAAGGGGGGUUGAUCGCAUGGUAAGAGCUAUCCGGGAUACUUGGGACGUCCAUACCCUAACCGUAACCACAACCCUUCCCUUUAACUAUUUGAAAUGGCAACUUCGGAAACCUUUCCAGCAACGUAAACUCACACGAAAGAGCUUACAUGUUCAUAAUCAGUUUGUUCACGAGCCACAUUCACCACGUCCAACUAGCUACUUAAUCACGAGACAAGGAUGGCGGUUGCGGAUUCCAAGACCUUCAGAAGUUUAGCAAGUUCAGAGUUAUCAAACGAGCAACAUCAGCGACAAUGCAUUAGCCUCUCCAACAAGCCUGAAACAGUGUAAACAAGGACAUGGGCUAACUGAUGCCUUGGACCGUGCAAUGGAGGAUAUUACAGCACUAGAGAUCUCUACACCUUCUUCUCUUGAUAAGUCCAGCAAGGACUCACUCAGUCACUCACAAACAAAACUCCAAUUUGAGGAACCACUUGUCAGGUAUAGAGAUUAUGGCUACAUAAAAAGCAAACAGACUUAAUUACAAUAGGCUAUACUAUAACAAUGUUAUUGAGGUAAUUUGUCAUUUUGUCAUUCAAUAGGCGAGAGAAGUCAAGGCACAAAAGGGAGGGCUUUGCACUGUCAAGCAAAUCCGAAGCUCCAUUCCCUAAAGAUCUACUUGAAGUUUUAGGUUAGUAUUAAAACACCAACUAAUUAAAGAUGAGUUAAAACACAAUUUGUGAUGUUCACGCGCUGGUGGUUAUUUUUCAUUUUUCCACAUUUCAAUGUUAAACAAAAUGAAUGUUUAAGGUCAGCCCUUGUACUAGUUUAAAGACACAAAGCUAUCGCAUAAAGGAGAUGGCAAACACCAACCACUCAAAGCUUGCAUUGUGUCCCCUGCAAAGGGACUUCAGAUAUACAGACUCUGGAGGAUCUAGUGGCUAAACUGGAGUUUGAGAAUGAGCUGCACCGUGUGUGUGGGAAUCAGGACGUAGACAAGGAGUUUCUAUCACCAGAGGAACACAGUUCAGACAGCUUAGUAGAGGACAGAAGCAGCAGCAAUGGAGAUGUGUCCAGUUCAGAGGACCACUGCAUGUUAGAGAUUGUGUUGCAGAUGGAAAGGGAGUAUGAU